GUUACCUUCGGGUAAUGAGGAUGGCGGACGGGUGAGUAACGCGUAAGGAACUUGCCUCUUGGACUGGGACAACUGUUGGAAACGACAGCUAAUACCGGAUAUUAUGAGAUUCUCGCAUGAGAAACUUAUGAAAGCUAUAUGCGCCAAGAGAGAGCCUUGCGUUCCAUUAGCUAGUUGGUGGGGUAACGGCCCACCAAGGCGACGAUGGAUAGCCGGCCUGAGAGGGUGAACGGCCACAAGGGGACUGAGACACGGCCCUUACUCCUACGGGAGGCAGCAGUGGGGAAUAUUGGACAAUGGACCAAAAGUCUGAUCCAGCAAUUCUGUGUGCACGAUGAAGGUCUUCGGAUUGUAAAGUGCUUUCAGUUGGGAAGAAGCAAGUGACGGUACCAACAGAAGAAGCGACGGCUAAAUACGUGCCAGCAGCCGCGGUAAUACGUAUGUCGCAAGCGUUAUCCGGAUUUAUUGGGCGUAAAGCGCGUCUAGGCGGAAAAAUAAGUCUGAUGUUAAAAUGCGGGGCUCAACUCCGUAUUGCGUUGGAAACUGUUUUUCUAGAGUACUGGAGAGGUGGGCGGAACUACAAGUGUAGAGGUGAAAUUCGUAGAUAUUUGUAGGAAUGCCGAUGGAGAAGUCAGCUCACUGGACAGAUACUGACGCUGAAGCGCGAAAGCGUGGGGAGCAAACAGG
rnacentral:rRNA from 1 species